UAAAAACGUUUUCUGUUUGUUGCUGUUACUUUUUGAAACUGUUGAGAAACUGCAGUUUAGUGAUUUCCAUACCUUGAAAAUAUUUUGUAUUCCUAAAACCAACUUUUUUUCAGUGUUCAACAGAAAAAAUUAUUACAAUUGUUUCAUUACCGAAAUAAAUUUCUCCACCAGGUACAAGUAUAGAGGUGGAAAGCACUUCAACUCUUCAAAAUUCGAGUCCAGCGCCAACUCGUCAUCCAAAAAUUAAUCGACAUAAUCUGCAUGUUCCAGACCCAGGGGGGUCCAAACUCACUAUCAACACAGCUUUUGGAAGUCAACUAAUUGAAGAAGAAAACCGCCGAGUUGUUCGACCUAGACGAGUACUUUCGAGUAUCGCAUCUAGUUGUGAUGAGCAUCAGAAAAGUCAGGGACUGCUGAACAGAAUAAAGGAAUCGAAAUCAUUGGAUUGUUUACCUCUUCGAAAGAGCAACAAACCUUCGGAUCUGAUUGAAAAGUUUUUGAAGGGACAGCGGCGCUCUGCAAAAUCAUUAGAGAACUGUGAUAAGUGUGGUGAGGUACAAAUUUUUGCCAUACCUGAAGAUAAACUGAUGAAUAAUAAUUUCCCUAAUGGCAAUUUGGUUAAUAUUCCAUCGUACUGUGCAAAAAGUGGUUUAGAAGACGUACAUGUGCCAUUGUUAAACCCUACGCAGCAUCCUGUGAUAGUCAGAAGAAGAGGAGGAAGUGCUAUUGAUGACACAUCUGAGAGCGAAUUUUCCAAAAGAUGGCAUUCCCUGGAAGCAGUAUCGGCCUCUUGUGCCCAAUUAUCAGACAUAAACAAUAAAAAAACAAUUUCACGGAGUGCUUUCAAAAGCUGGCUGGUGGGUUUAUUCAAUGGAACUGGACUGAAAUCGAGCAACACUUCAUUGAGAAAAGGUGUUCUGAAUGAAUAUAAUAACCUGCAAGCUGAAAAAGAGAGUAUAGUCUAGAAAAAUGUUGAUGUUUGUUAGAUGUGAACCACAAAAAUAACAUUCAAGUACAAAGUCAUAUAUUUUAUUUA